UACGUAGGGUGCGAGCGUUGCCCGGAUUUAUUGGGCGUAAAGGGCGCGCAGGCGGCCACGCACGUCCGUUGUGAAAUCGCUCGGCUCAACUGGGCGGGGUCAGCGGAUACGGCGCGGCUGGAGCAAGCUGGAGGGCAAUGGAAUUCCCGGUGUAGUGGUGGAAUGCGUAGAUAUCGGGAGGAACACCAGUGGCGAAGGCGGUUGCCUGGAGCUUUGCUGACGCUGAGGCGCGGAAAGCGUGGGGAGCGAGUCCGG
rnacentral:rRNA from 1 species